UGCGUAGGUGGUUAAUUAAGUUAUCUGUGAAAUCCCUGGGCUCAACCUGGGCAGGUCAGAUAAAACUGUUUAACUCGAGUAUGGGAGAGGGUAGUGGAAUUUCCGGUGUAGCGGUGAAAUGCGUAGAGAUCGGAAGGAACACCAGUGGCGAAGGCGGCUACCUGGCCUGAUACUGACACUGAGGCACGAAAGCGUGGGGAGCAAACA
rnacentral:rRNA from 1 species